rnacentral:rRNA from 1 species
CCUACGGGUGGCUGCAGUGGGGAAUAUUGCACAAUGGGCGCAAGCCUGAUGCAGCCAUGCCGCGUGUGUGAAGAAGGCCUUCGGGUUGUAAAGCACUUUCAGCGGGGAGGAAGGCGUUAAGGUUAAUAACCUUGGCGAUUGACGUUACCCGCAGAAGAAGCACCGGCUAACUCCGUGCCAGCAGCCGCGGUAAUACGGAGGGUGCAAGCGUUAAUCGGAAUUACUGGGCGUAAAGCGCACGCAGGCGGUCUGUCAAGUCGGAUGUGAAAUCCCCGGGCUCAACCUGGGAACUGCAUUCGAAACUGGCAGGCUAGCGUCUUGUAGAGGGGGGUAGAAUUCCAGGUGUAGCGGUGAAAUGCGUAGAGAUCUGGAGGAAUACCGGUGGCGAAGGCGGCCCCCUGGACAAAGACUGACGCUCAGGUGCGAAAGCGUGGGGAGCAAACAGGAUUAGAUACCCUGAUAGUC